GCCUGGGUGGCUCAGUUGGUUGAGCGUCUGACUUCAGCUCAGGUCACGAUCUCAUGGUUUGUGAGUUCGAGCCCCGCAUCAGGCU
rnacentral:tRNA from 1 species